rnacentral:rRNA from 1 species
AUUGAACGCUGGCGGCAUGCCUUACACAUGCAAGUCGAACGGCAGCACGGGGGCAACCCUGGUGGCGAGUGGCGAACGGGUGAGUAAUGCAUCGGAACGUGCCCAGUAGUGGGGGAUAACCAGUCGAAAGGCUGGCUAAUACCGCAUACGACCUACGGGUGAAAGCGGGGGACCGUAAGGCCUCGCGCUAUUGGAGCGGCCGAUGUCUGAUUAGCUAGCUGGCGGGGUAAGGGCCCACCAAGGCGACGAUCAGUAGCUGGUCUGAGAGGACGACCAGCCACACUGGGACUGAGACACGGCCCAGACUCCUACGGGAGGCAGCAGUGGGGAAUUUUGGACAAUGGGCGCAAGCCUGAUCCAGCCAUGCCGCGUGCGGGAAGAAGGCCUUCGGGUUGUAAACCGCUUUUGGCAGGAACGAAACGGCGCAAGCCAAUACCUUGCGCUAAUGACGGUACCUGCAGAAUAAGCACCGGCUAACUACGUGCCAGCAGCCGCGGUAAAAC